AUGUUUUUUUGCAGCUUGAGUUUCGAUUUGAUGAUUUUUUUUAAAAAUCUUUUUUCAAUAAUUCUUUUAUCUCUUUUGAAACCAUAUUACUCUUGUUCUUUUAUUUCCUCAGGUCUUUCCGGUUUCUUGACUCUUAGGUUUGAUUUUGUUCUUGGCUUUUAUCGCCAUACAUGUAUAGUGUGGAGUAACAUUUUGUGUAGUAUCGAUCCUCUCUUAAGGGUUCUUACCAUCAAUACUACUUUUCUCUUGCAAAUGUUUGUUCUACAUUUGGGUUUUUGUUUCACGGUGCAAAAGUUUACAA